rnacentral:lncRNA from 1 species
UAGGCCUUUAUAUAGCCCUCCAAAACGACGUCGUUUUGGGGGCUACACUUAAGCCUCAAAACGACGUCGUUUUGACCAUUGCCCGACCCAUCCGACCCGACCCGCUAGAGGAUCCGCGUGUUUUCGUUUGAAUGGGAUAUUUAUGCGCGCAGUCCUUCCGCUUUUUCAAGAUUUUGCAAUUAAGUCAUUUUUCUUGUUUCCAAUUUGGCCCCAUAAUUUCUCGCGCUUUUCGAUUUAGUCCCCGCUAAUGUGCUGUGUUUUAAUGGAAUGGAAUAAUUGUUGU